AUGCCUGCCGUCGACGCCACCAUGGCGCCAGACAGCUCGACCACCCUACGCUCGUCCAUCCAGCCGCAUCCGUCGUUGAUAUGCAGCUGCACCAUGCCGCCACCACUCGUCGUCAAUGACGCGGUAGAUACAACGCCGCACCACCUGGCAACCUCCACACCAUCGCCACUGCUGGAGCUACUCGGAGCCCACCAUCCACAACAUCUCUCCCCCGAACAGCAGUUCCUCCCAAGACGGCGCCUCCAUGGAGGAUGCGACGCGCAGGACGCCGCCGCCGCCGCCCAAUCCAGACUGAAUUUUGGACUUUCGUCCGGGAGGGGUUUGGGGGUGGAUAGGGGGACCUCGACUUCGCCUCCAGGAAGGGUAACGGCGUCAAGUGACGUCGCCGAUGCCGGGCCGAACACGCCGACCAAAGUUUCCUCCGGUCCCCAUCCUAUGUCACCAAACCUCCGUGUACUCCGGAUCCGGCAAGCCACGAUCCGAAACCCGCGAUGA
rnacentral:rRNA from 1 species